UACGUAGGGUGCGAGCGUUGUCCGGAAUUAUUGGGCGUAAAGAGCUUGUAGGCGGUCUGUCGCGUCUGCUGUGAAAAUCCGGGGCUCAACCCCGGACUUGCAGUGGGUACGGGGCAGACUAGAGUGUGGUAGGGGGAGACUGGAAUUCCUGGUGUAGCGGUGAAAUGCGCAGAUAUCAGGAGGAACACCGAUGGCGAAGGCAGGUCUCUGGGCGAUU
rnacentral:rRNA from 1 species